rnacentral:misc_RNA from 1 species
GAAAUGCGAUAAGUAGUGUGAAUUGCAGAAUUCAGUGAAUCAUCGAAUCUUUGAACGCACAUUGCGCCCCUUGGUAUUCCAUGGGGCAUGCCUGUUCGUGCGUCAUUUGUACCCUCAAGCUCUGCUUGGUGUUGGGUGUUUGUCCCCGUCUCCGCGCGUGGACUCGCCCCAAAGUGAUUGGCAGCCGGCGUACUGGUCCCGGAGCGCAGCACAUGUCGCGCAAACGAGUGCCUUGGUACGGCGGCGUCCAUAAGCCCCUCUCUCACGCUCUUGACCUCGGAUCAGGUAGGGAUACCCGCUGAACUUAAGC